rnacentral:rRNA from 1 species
AUUGAACGCUGGCGGCAUGCCUUACACAUGCAAGUCGAACGGCAGCACGGGAGCAAUCCUGGUGGCGAGUGGCGAACGGGUGAGUAAUACAUCGGAACGUGCCCAGUAGUGGGGGAUAGCCCGGCGAAAGCCGGAUUAAUACCGCAUGAGACCUGAGGGUGAAAGCGGGGGAUCGCAAGACCUCGCGCUAUUGGAGCGGCCGAUGUCAGAUUAGCUAGUUGGUGGGGUAAAGGCCCACCAAGGCAACGAUCUGUAGUUGGUCUGAGAGGACGACCAGCCACACUGGGACUGAGACACGGCCCAGACUCCUACGGGAGGCAGCAGUGGGGAAUUUUGGACAAUGGGCGCAAGCCUGAUCCAGCAAUGCCGCGUGCAGGAAGAAGGCCUUCGGGUUGUAAACCGCUUUUGUCGGGGAAGAAACGGUGGGAGCUAAUAACUUCUGCUAAUGACGGUACCCGAAGAAUAAGCACCGGCUAACUACGUGCCAGCCGCCGCCGUAAUAC